rnacentral:lncRNA from 1 species
CGCAUAUUAAUAGCUCCACUAUCCCACACACAUUCGAGUGCCUUCCCAGGCUCCCCAGUUCCCAGAUGUCAUAUGUCAGGCAGCUGUAAUAAUGCGAGCUGAUGACUGCGUUAUGAUUACUGUCAGCGGCAGACACACAAAGCACGGGGCACGGCACGGGAUACGGCACUCCAUGAAUAAGCAGAUGAGUCAGGGUGGGAGUCAACCUGCGGGCUUACCACCCCAGC